rnacentral:ncRNA from 1 species
CAAAGGCUUGGUCCUGACUUUACUAACAGCUUUAGCCAAAUUUACACAUGCAAGUAUCCGCACCCCCGUGAGAAUGCCCUAUAUGCCCCGCCCGGGAAUUAGGAGCCGGUAUCAGGCACACCUUUGUAGCCCAUAACGCCUUGCUUAGCCACACCCUCAAGGGAACUCAGCAGUGAUAAACAUUAAGCCAUAAGUGAAAACUUGACUUAGUUACGGCUUAGAGGGCCGGUAAAACUUUUGCCACCCCGGCCGUUUAUAUGAGAGGGUCAAAGUUUUAGCCCCCGGGGGUAAGAGUGGUUAAAAUUUCUACACCAAAUACACUGAGGCCGAAGGGGUUUUUACCCUUUGGGGGGGAUAAAAACAAAAUUAGGAGAGGGGCCCCACGAAAGUAGCCUCAUCUUAUUUGAACCCACGAAAGCUAGGACACAAACUGGGAUUAGAUACCCCACUAUGCCUAAGCCCUAAACAAUGAUAAUCUUCUACAUCUCAUAUCCGCCUGGGUACUACGAGCACUAGCUUAAAACCCAAAGGACUUGGCGGUGCUUUAAACCCACCUAGAGGAGCCUGUUCUAUAACCGAUAACCCCCGUUAAACCUCACCCCUUUUUGUUCAACCCGCCUAUAUACCACCGUCGUCAGCCUACCCUAUGAAGGAUAAACAGUAAGCAAAGUUGGCACAGCCCAAAACGUCAGGUCGAGGUGUAGCGCAUGAAGGGGAAAGAAAUGGGCUACAUUCUCUUCUCAGAGAACUACGAAUGACACAAUGAAAUACAAGUCUGAAGGAGGAUUUAGCAGUAAGUAAAGAAACAGAGUGUCUUACUGAAACCGGCCAUAAAGCGCGCACACACCGCCCGUCACUCUCCCCCAACUUAACCAGCUAAUAAUUAAUACAACAUAAUACAUAAGGGGAGGCAAGUCGUAACAUGGUAAGUGUACCGGAAGGUGCACUUGGAAAAAU